UGCGUAUUGUUAGGCUUGGCAGGUCUUAAAUUAUUUUAAAAUAUUUAAAUAAUUUAACCUUUAAUUCACCUAUCCCAACAUGGCUACCGUGCGAGCACCUAUCAAAACCUUGAUGAAAAUAACAAACCGAAAAUCUGAGAAACGCGAUUUGACCUUGGACGUGCCCCGUGCCAGUGCACUGGCCUUAGGGGUGCUGAAGAACUUGAUUUGGAUGCCGGCGGCGGCGACGACAGUGCGCCGGCGCACAUCUCUAUGGAGGUGGACGGCGACCCGUGGGCGACCGCCGCUGCCGCGGUUUGCUACAGGUGGCCAUGGCCACUAAUCUGUUGGAGGAGGCGCCCCCGGCACAGGUCCCAACCGCCGGGGAGACGCGGCAGAGACCGGGCAGUGGGCUUGCUUCCAGUCGCAAUACGACGCGGUCGUGACAGCGUCUCAGUGCACAGGAGCCGCGGCUGUGGACGAUUGUUGAGAGACGGCGCGGGGCACGGAUAGAAGCUUGUCUGCUGGAGAUCAAAUCCUGUCUGCUGGUGGUAUAUAAUGCCGCGUAGCCCCGUGUCCGUGAUGAUCUUU